UUUUUUUUUUUUUAAUUUAGAGAAGUAUUUAUUUUAGAUGGGUUUUGUAUUGCUAUAUUCUUUUAGCCUUUUUUUGGUUGGAAAAAUUUUUUAUUUCCCCUUCUAUUCUAAAUGAUAUUCUUGCUGGCUAGAGUAUUCUAGGUUGCAUAUUUUUUCCUUUCAGUGCUUUAAAUAUCUCUUGCCAUUCCCUCCUGGCCUGUAGAGUUUCUGUAGAGAAAUCAGCUGAUAGCCUUAUGGGGGUUCCCUUAUAAAUGACACUUUGCUUUUCUCUUGUUGCCUUUAGGAUCCUCUCUUUAUCAUUAAUUUUUACCAUUUUUAUUAUAACAUGUCUUGGUGUGGGUCUAUUCGGUUCAACUUCUUUGGGAACCUCUGUGCUUCCUUUAUCUUGAAUCAGUAUCCUUUAAAUUUGGAAAAUUCUCAGUGAUAAUUUCUUCAAAUAUAUUUCAUCUCCUUUUCUUUUUCUUCUCCUUCCAGAAUUCCUAUUAUGUGUAGAUUGGCCCACUUUAUAUUAUCCCAUAGGUCUCUCAUAUUGCUUUCAUGUUUUUUCAGUUGGUUUGGGUGAUUUCCCAACUUAUUCUAUCUUCCACGUCACUAAUUUGUUCCUCUGCAUUAUUCAUUUUGGUUUUAACUACCCUUAGCUCCGUUUGUAUCUUUGCAAAUGAAUUUUCUAGUUUUUCUUGGCUCCUCCUUAUAUUUUCUAGUUCCUUUCUGAGGGAGUCUGCAUUACUGUUCAUAUUUUCUCUUAAUUCCUUCAGUAUUUUCACUAUCUCCCUUUUCUCCCUUUUGAACUCCAAGUCUGUCAGACUGCAGAGUUGUUUCAUUGUUGACUGCUUUAGGGGAGUUCUCCUGUUGGUUUAACUGGGAAUGGUUUCUGAGCUUCUUUAUCUUGCUUGUGUUUUUCUUUUUCAUGGUGGAGGUGCACUCCCCGUGGCCAGGCAGGGCUUGCCCUGGUGCUCCUGGGCUGUGGAGCUCUUCCUGAGGGCUGAUGGUGCUGGGCGGCUUGCUCCGUGGGAGUGCAGCACUUCCUGAGGGCCAGUGGGGCUAACCGGCUGGCUCUGAGGCAAAGGAGUGCUUCUCGAGGGACUGGCAGGUGCACUGCAGUGUAAGCACACUAUCUGUGGCCCGGCAGGGCUUGCCCUGGUACUCCUGGGCUGUGGAGCUCUUCCCGAGGGCGAGCGGUGAUGCAGCUUGCUCCGCAGGAGUGGGGCGCUUCCUGUGUGCAGGCCAUCUGACUGGGGAAAGCGGCAGUGGUGUAUGGCUUCCUGAGGGUAAUAAGGCCAGUCCACUGGGAUGGCAGGCAGCUUCUGACCAGGUGCUCACUGGGUGGGGGAUGGAGGAUGUGCUGGGAAGCUCUGCUCUCUACUAGCUGGCAGGCAAGCACACACGCUGGGGUGCAGGGAGUAUUCUAUGGCAGCCAGCCCCUCUUCCUCUCCCCUCCCCAACACUGAUGCCUUGUCUUACCUGUGGGUCCGAACCUUCUCUCAAGUUCCCUCUGUUGUGGCUUUCCACUCCCCAGCCCUUAGCGUAUUGCUCCCUCCGUCCCAUCACAAGGUUUCCUAAUCCCUCAGGCUGUCUCCACACUGUCAACCCCAGCCCAUUCCUAGGGACUAACCUCCAGGGCCUAGGUGUAGGUGCCCAGCCUCCAUCUGAGCAUCUAGGUUUUUGGUGUCUGUACCAGUGGUUCAGAUGAUCUGUGCGGCUCUCACUCUGCUUUUUAGAUCUCAGACCUGCUGCUCUGCUUUUCUGAGAGUCUGAGAUCCCUCCGACUGGGUAGAACUUUCUAUCCAUUAGGUGACUUUCCAGUGUGUAGGUUCCCUUUCUCUUUCACAGUUCCCUCUCAGGAGUGCCAGUCCAGUCCUGAUUCCCCUUCUCUCUCUCCUCUUUUCUCUUGUUUUACCCAGUUAUGUCAAGAGAUUCUUGCCGUUUUUGGCGGUUUAAGUUCUGCUAGCAUUCAGUUGUUGUUCUGUGUGAGUCGCUUUAUGUGUAGAUGUGUUUUUUUGUUGUGUUUGUGGGAGAGGGCGAGUGCAUCCCCCUACUCUUCCACCAUCUUUUUUCUUUCUCUUUGUUUCUUUUUAAAAUUGUGACCUAUCAAUUGGAGAUUUAUAAAUAAAUUGGAAUUAAGGAUUAACUUUAUAUUAUCAUCUUAAAACUGUAUAUACCUGUUUUAUUUUGUUUUUCUCUUGAGUAGAUGAAUUGAUAUAAUAAUACUGAUGAUAGUAAUUGCUAUUUAUUCAAUGCUUAUUAAUGUCAGAUAUUUAUUUACAAAUUCUGCAUGUUAUUGAUUUUAGUCCUCAGAAAUUUCCCAUAAGGAAGCUAAAAAUUAUUUUCCCAUUUUAUGGAUGAGAAAGUUAAAGCAAAGAAACGAUACAUUACUUCCUAAGUUGUAAAACUAUGUGGAGGAAUUACUUCAGAAUCCACAUCUUAACUACUACAGCUAAUGUUUCACUGCAUGUAUUUUAUAUAUAGUUUUUUUAUUAACAUUAUAAAAUGUAAUGGCUAACCAUUAAUAUUAUUAUAGCUGUAUGAAAUUCCAGAUAAUUUACAAAAUAUAUUGUGAAAAAAUUACAAGGGGAAAACAUCAUGCUAGCUUCACUGUGACUAUAAUUUUAAGUGUCCUCUCUCUUUGCUUGCCAUUGAGAUUCAGUAAAUUUAUAUAGCAAAGAAUAAUUGGCUCAUUAUGAUGUAAAUGACUAUGAUAGGGAAAGUCUUUUAAUUAUUUAUAAUAAAUUACUUUUGUGUUGCCGGUUUUAAAUUAGCAACAGUUUAAUUAAUGAAUUAUGUCUCUGCCUGGGUCAAGAUUCAAGCACACAGGACAGCUUACUUUAGUAAACUUAAUACCACCACUGUUUUUCUUAAAAUUGUUAAAUUUCUCAUUUCUUUGUCUUCUAUCUAUUCUUUCCAAUUACAUCAUUUGGCAUUAUCUUGUUUACCUAUCUAUCACUAUUGCCAGAAAUUCUAAAGGUCAUGCUUAACAGAUGCUCUAUGAGGUUGAGCAGUUGAUAUAUAUUAUAUUAGUAGAAUCAACUCUAAUCCUUAGAAUGAGAGUAAGUAUUCAUGACCCUAUGUUCAUUUAGCUAUUCAGUUAUUCAACAUUAAUGGAGUGCUAACACUAUGUAUUGCCAUGUCCAGUGCUGCAGGGAAACGGGGAAUCCUGGAAGAGGCACGGCAGGGUAUAACAGAACACACAAGACUCUUACAUUUAGAAAGUGGGGGACCAGGAGGCACUCUGUUCUGUAGAACAAAGGCCCCUAGGCUUUAGCCCACAUAAUUUUUAUUAAGGAAGGUGAUGAGAUUAUUAUUAAUGGGAUUAAGGAAGGUGACAAGAUUAAUGCGCAGGGACAGGCAUACGCAAUAACAAUAUUAUCUUCUUAGUAAUAUCAAAAGGGGUAUCCUUAGGACAUAGUAGUGGAACUGUUUAUAGAAUAAUAUGGUUAAUUAGUAAGUCUUUCAUCUUGGCCUUUGAAGGAGACUCUAUACUUUAGAACUCUUGAGUCCUUAGAUAUUUGCCUUCUGCAGAGUUCUGCUGUUCCAUUGUCUCCAACAGUGUGUAAUAAAGUUCUAAUUAUUAUGCCAAGUGAAACUGUGAAGAUGAUGUGGUCUCUGGGGUAACAUGUAAUCUAGUGGAGAGAAAGCUUUAUAAACAAGUAAUACCAGGUAAAAAUGAAAGUUAUGUAUUAUCAUGCUAUUACAAACAAUGUGUAAUGAGUCAGAUAUUCAAAAAACAUUUUUACUCUGAUUGGAGAAAACAUGCAAUGUCAACCAAAAGUCAGAUUCAUUGGAGAACAUCCCUCAACUGUGUGUGUCUGAGAGUGGGGUGGUGAUUCUGAAAGUAAUACCAAGAACAUAGAGGGUAUGUGACUAGGAAAAUGUGCCAUGUCAACUUCAGCUUGAAGAAUAUAUAAGAAAAUAUAUAUUAAAAGUAGAUAAUAUUUUUAUCCAUAUUUUGAAGAUUUACAUGUCCCUCAGAAGUUCAGCACUGGUUGAUAGAACUUGUAGAACUACAUUAAGUGAGGAAGAGCAGUAGCCUGGCAUGCAAUACUCCAAUAAAGUUUCUGUUUGUUAGGUAGAGUAGACAACUGAUACAAACCUCUUGAGUUGAGAAAUAUUUAAAUUGAAAGGAAGGAAGAAAAACUCUUUUUUGAGACUUAGACCUAUUCAGGCCUGUACAAAAAUUUUAUUCAAUCAGUCUGGCUUUACCUGCUUUAUAUCUAACCCACCUAUGCUUAAAGCAACAUUAUGAGGUCAUACAAGCGUGGAAAUAAUUUCUGUUGCAUUUCCCUAGGAAAUGAUAAAACUUGUUCACAAAUUCGAUAAAUCUGGCUCUAUACCCUAUACUCCUAAAUCCUAUGCUAUGAUGUCAUAGGGAAAAAAAAAAAAAAAACAGAGAAAGAAACAAGCAAACAAAAGCAAAAGUUUCUUGAUUGUCAGUUAUAUUACUUUUAGUAUUAAAACAUGUUUCAUAUUCUGUGUAUUAAUUUAAAGAGUAGGAAAUGUGGUGAUCAUAAUCUCUAUUGACUAAAAUUAGAGUGCAUGGGUGAAUUUAGGUAAAACAAGCUUUAUACAAAUACAAAUUUAGAUUGUUUCCUGUUUUUAUUUACAAAAAUAAAGCUUUCUCAUUAUAGAAAAUUUAAAAUAUCUGCGAAAGUAAAAAUAAAUAAAUAAAUAUAUUUAGCACUUCUGCAAAAUAAUUGACAAAAUAAAUCCUGAGGGUGGUUGAAUUAAACUUUGAUUUUAUUCAAUGCCUAUAUACAUACUUAAGCAUAUACACUCAUAUAUGAGAAUUCUGGGCCUUAAGUUGUGGUGACUUGCUCAUUAUCUUACAGUUCAUUUCAGAGUUAGAGUUCAAAUACUGGGUGUUUCAUCUCAAGGCCUAAGCUCCUAAUAUCUCAUGCUAUUGUGUCUUUCUUUAGCCAUUUAGUUGCAUAAAUUUGCUCAUCAUUUAACAUAUUUGUGUUCAUUAUCUCUUUUUGUUAAAGGAACACAAUAUUUACCACCUGUUUAUGGAAGUGGAAAGGUAGUCACAAAGACCAGCAUGUACAAAUAGUAAACAAAACACAAAAAUAAACUGUGAAUAUACUUUAUAAACUCAAUCGCUGUACUAAUAAAAAUGUUAUUGUAAAAAUGCAAAUAUAUUUAACAGUUCCAGAAUAUGUUACAGCAAGGGCCAGAAUGACUCUCAAAGAUGACAACCACUGCUCAUGGCAUUGCCAAAAAUUACAGACAGUUGACCUUGAAGUCAUUGAAGUCAUUGAAUGACUUGAAUAUUAAGCUUCUCAACUUUGCUGUCAGAAUUCAGCUUACUUUCUCCUCUACUAAUUGGUUUAGCAUAGGUAAAAGAGCCUAUGCAUUUAUACUUAAAUUUUGUAAGAAUUAAAUGAAAUAAAAGGUAUUAAACUUGUAUAUUCGUGGUAGUCAAUAUUUAUUUCUUAAAUGUCCUAAUGAUCUCUUUCUAAUAUUUAUAUGAAAUAUUCCUUUGAGUUACUAAAACAUUUUUCUGGCUUUAGAAAUCAAAUCUAAUUUGUGAAUGAGAAAAUUAGAUCCUGGGGGUAGUUAAAAGACUAAUUCACAAGCAUGUAUUGGAAGGAAAGUUAACUCAGAUAUCUUAAAUCCCUAUUCAUCUCUUCUUUCAGAUUUAGUUUGACUAAAUUAAAUGUGGAAUUUUUUAGUUCAUCUUUAAAUAUUAUAGAGUUUUACUUUCUCAACUUCUGCCUUAAAUAACCAAUUCCAAGGAAAAUGUAAUAAUAUUAUUAUCAUUAAUGAUUUUGAGAAUGCAGAAAUCAUAAGCACAAAAUAUCAAUAUGCUUCACAUGUUUUCUCCCUCUUUUUUAGACUGUAGUGAAACACUUCUCAUGUUUGGAGGAGACAGAAGGAGUGUUUUUCACUCCGUUGUUCUCAUAGCCACAAGAGCAUUUGUCACUUCUCAUCCUAAAGGGGCUGUCAGAGAAGACAUUGGCAGGGUGUUACAACACAGCAUCUUCUGUCAAGAGUUUUAUCUUUUCAAAUGAAAUAUGAUAGGUCUUUAUGGCACUUUUAUAACAGUCAGGUUAUUUUUGACAAUACAAUUGAAAAGUGAGUUUCCACCAUUAAACUCUAACAUGAAAGGUGCCAGCAAAGUCUGUGAUCUCUAGAAAUAUAGAGCAUCAUGUUGUAAACAAUAAUUUUCCCUACAAAUAGAAGGUGAGGCAUGAUGUAGUUCCUAUUAGGAAAGAUUCUAUCAAGGAUAGUGCCUAGGGAGGUGGGGUUAUAUUCAUCCCAUAGGGUGCACCAUGGGGAAAUUAGAAGUUACCUCUCUGGGUUCCAGCUUACCAAAAACCUCUGACACAGAUAUGCAUCCUUGACCUUGAGUUACAAUGAACAGGCUUAUAACACCUCACUCCCUCUUCCCACUGUCUACCAGCCUCAGCCAGCCUGAACUCUUGCACCUUCCCAUGCAGACACUGUAUAUCUGGAUCCCAAACCACCUGGCUGGAGAGUGGGCUCCAGCCUCUCCAAUUCUCUAAUAUAGGCAGUGUGACCAAGGGCCCAUGCUCACAAUCUUACACACAUAUAUCACUUCCAAGAAAUGAUAGAAAAUUGACCUUUCUGAGAUCUCAAUAUCAUGUUUCUAUAGCCGUAUUAACUACUCAGCAUCAAAUGGCUUCCUCAGUUUUAAUUUGGUUUAUAUAAUCCAGCUGUAAAAACUUUCAGUUGAUUAAAUACUUGAGCAUUUUUAUUCCAUCACUUAAGAUUCAAGCUUCUCUUAUGUUUAUGUUUUAUGUGUGACUUUAUCAAAUACUAUAUCUCAUAAUUUAUAUUUUUAUUGGAAAAUGAUUUAUUUAUAAAGUAACCAAUUAAUUUUAACUUAUCUUUGAUAUA
rnacentral:lncRNA from 1 species